GAACGCGAAGAACCUUACCAAGGCUUGACAUAUAGUUGAGUUAUUGAGAAAUUGAUAAGUCCCUCGGGACAGCUAUACAGGUGGUGCAUGGUUGUCGUCAGCUCGUGUCGUGAGAUGUUGGGUUAAGUCCCGCAACGAGCGCAACCCUUAUCUUCAGUUACCAGCAUGUAAUGAUGGGGACUCUGGAGAGACUGCCGAUGACAAAUCGGAGGAAGGUGGGGAUGACGUCAAAUCAUCAUGCCCUUUAUGUCUUGGGCUACACACGUGCUACAAUGGUUGGUACAACGGGAAGCUAGACAGUGAUGUUAAGCAAAACUCUAAAAACCAAUCUCAGUUCGGAUUGUAGGCUGCAACUCGCCUACAUGAAGUCGGAGUUGCUAGUAAUCGCGAAUCAGAAUGUCGCGGUGAAUGCGUUCCCGGGUCUUGUACACACC
rnacentral:rRNA from 1 species